GAUGCUAAUACUGCAGUCGAGCGGUCCCUUCGGGGAUCCGGCGGACGGGUGAGUAACACGUAGGCAACCUGCCUGUAAGAUCGGGAUAACUAUCGGAAACGGUAGCUAAGACCGGAUAGCUGGUUUUCUCGCAUGGGAGAAUCAUGGAACACGGGGCAACCUGUGGCUUACAGAUGGGCCUGCGGCGCAUUAGCUAGUUGGUAGGGUAACGGCCUACCAAGGCGACGAUGCGUAGCCGACCUGAGAGGGUGAACGGCCACACUGGGACUGAGACACGGCCCAGACUCCUACGGGAGGCAGCAGUAGGGAAUCUUCCGCAAUGGGCGCAAGCCUGACGGAGCAACGCCGCGUGAGUGAUGAAGGUUUUCGGAUCGUAAAGCUCUGUUGCCAAGGAAGAAAUGUAAGGAGAGUAACUGCUCUUUACUUGACGGUACUUGAGAAAAAAGCCCCGGCUAACUACGUGCCAGCAGCCGCGGUAAUACGUAGGGGGCAAGCGUUGUCCGGAAUUAUUGGGCGUANAGCGCGCGCAGGCGGUUUUUUAAGUCUGGGGUUUAAUUGCAGGGCUCAACCCUGUAUCGCCUUGGGAAACUGGGAGACUGGAGUGGAGGAGAAGAAAGUGGAAUUCCACGUGUAACGGUGAAAUGCCUAAAGAUGUGGGAGGAACACCAGUGGCCGAGGGCGACUUUCUGGCCCUAUAACUGACCCUGAAGCGGCAAAAGCCUGGGGGGAGCAACCGGGAAUAAUACCCCUGGUAAUCCCACCCCUUAAACGAUGGAAGGCUAGGGGUUAAGGGGUUUCGAAAACCCCUGGUGGCCGAAGUUAAACCAAUAAACCCCUCCCCCCUGGGGGAAAACCCUCGACAAAAUGGA
rnacentral:rRNA from 1 species